AUAGCGUAUAUUUAAGUUGUUGCAGUUAAAAAGCUCGUAGUUGAACUUCAGACCUGGCCGGAUGGUCUGCCUAACGGUAUGUACUGUCUGGCUGGGCCUUACCUCUUGGUGAGCCGGCAUGCCCUUCACUGGGUGUGUUGGGGAACCAGGACUUUUACCUUGAGAAAAUUAGAGUGUUCAAAGCAGGCUUAUGCUCGAAUACAUUAGCAUGGAAUAAUAAAAUAGGACGUGCGGUUCUAUUUUGUUGGUUUCUAGAGUCGCCGUAAUGAUUAAUAGGGAUAGUUGGGGGCAUUAGUAUUCAGUUGCUAGAGGUGAAAUUCUUGGAUUUACUGAAGACUAACUACUG
rnacentral:rRNA from 1 species